rnacentral:rRNA from 1 species
AUUGAACGCUGGCGGCAGGCCUAACACAUGCAAGUCGAACGAGUGGCGGACGGGUGAGUAAUGUCUGGGAAACUGCCUGAUGGAGGGGGAUAACUACUGGAAACGGUAGCUAAUACCGCAUAACAUCAGAUGUGCCCAGAUGGGAUUAGCUAGUUGGUGGGGUAACGGCUCACCAAGGCGACGAACCCUAGCUGGUCUGAGAGGAUGACCAGCCACACUGGAACUGAGGCACGGUGCAAACUCCUACGGGAGGCGGCGGUGAGGAAUAUUGCACAAUGGGCGCAAGCCUGAUGCAGCCAUGCCGGGUGUAUGAAGAAGGCCUUCGGGUUGUAAAGUACUUUCAGCGGGGAGGCGUUACCCGCAGAAGAAGCACCGGCUAACUCCGUGCCAGCAGCCGCGGUAAUAC